GCCGAAAUAGCUCAGUUGGGAGAGCGUUAGACUGAAGAUCUAAAGUUGGUUCGAUCCCUGGUUCGAUCCCGGGUUUCGGCA